AACUUUCAGCAACGGAUCACUUGGCUCUCGCAUCGAUGAAGAACGCAGCGAAAUGCGAUAAGUAAUGUGAAUUGCAGAAGUCAGUGAAUCAUCGAAUCUUUGAACGCACCUUGCGCUCCUUGGUAUUCCGAGGAGCAUGCCUGUUUGAGUGUCAUUAAUAUAUCAAACUUCUCUUGUUGAUUGGUUUGGAUGUGGGGGUUUGCUGGCCUUUUUAAAAAAGUUCAGCUCCUCUGAAAUGCAUUAGCAGAAUAACCUGUUCAUUGGUGUGAUAACUAUCUACACUAUUGAAUUCAAGGGCCAGUUCAGCUUUCUAACAGUCCUUGGACAAUUUAUCAUUUAUGUGACCUCAAAUCAGGUAGGACUACCCGCUGAACUUAAGCAUAUCAAUAAGCGGAGGCU
rnacentral:misc_RNA from 1 species